CGGCGUGCUUAACACAUGCAAGUCGAACGCGAAAGGGGACUUCGGUCCUGAGUAAAGUGGCGCACGGGUGAGUAACGCGUAGAUGACCUGUCUUCAUGUCUGGAAUAAUACGCCGAAAGGGGUACUAAUACCGGAUAUUCUUGCUUUUCAUAAGUUAUGCAAGCAAAGGUGGCCUCUGCAUAUGCUACUGCAUGAAGAGGGGUCUGCGUACCAUUAGCUAGUAGGUGGGGUAAUGGCCUACCUGGGCGACGAUGGUUAGCGGGUCUGAGAGGAUGAUCCGCCACACUGGCACUGGAACACGGGCCAGACUCCUACGGGAGGCAGCAGUGAGGAAUAUUGCGCAAUGGGGGAAACCCUGACGCAGCGACGCCGCGUGAGUGAGGAAGGCCUUCGGGUCGUAAAGCUCUGUCAAGAGGAAAGAAGUGUACAAUGGCUAAUACCUGUUGUAUUUGACGGUACCUCUAAAGGAAGCACCGGCUAACUCCGUGCCAGCCGCGGC
rnacentral:rRNA from 1 species